GAUGAACGCUAGCGGCAGGCCUAACACAUGCAAGUCGAGGGGUAGAGGAAGCUUGCUUCCUUGAGACCGGCGCACGGGUGCGUAACGCGUAUGCAAUCUACCUUGUACAGAGGGAUAGCCCAGAGAAAUUUGGAUUAAUACCUCAUAGUAUUAUUGAAUGGCAUCAUUUAAUAAUUAAAGUUCCAACGGUACAAGAUGAGCAUGCGUCCUAUUAGCUAGUUGGUGUGGUAACGGCAUACCAAGGCUACGAUAGGUAGGGGUCCUGAUAGGGAGAUCCCCCACACUGGUACUGAGACACGGACCAGACUCCUACGGGAGGCAGCAGUGAGGAAUAUUGGACAAUGGGCGCAAGCCUGAUCCAGCCAUGCCGCGUGCAGGAAGACGCAUCUAUGGUGUGUAAACUGCUUUUGUACGGGAAGAAACACUCCCUCGUGAGGGAGCUUGACGGUACCGUAAGAAUAAGGAUCGGCUAACUCCGUGCCAGCCGCCGCUGUAAUAC
rnacentral:rRNA from 1 species